rnacentral:rRNA from 1 species
UACGGGGGGAGCAAGCGUUGUUCGGAUUUACUGGGCGUAAAGGGUGCGUAGGCGGGUCUUUAAGUCAGGGGUGAAAUCCUGGAGCUCAACUCCAGAACUGCCUUUGAUACUGAAGAUCUUGAGUUCGGGAGAGGUGAGUGGAACUGCGAGUGUAGAGGUGAAAUUCGUAGAUAUUCGCAAGAACACCAGUGGCGAAGGCGGCUCGCUGGCCCGAUACUGACGCUGAGGCACGAAAGCGUGGGGAGCAAACAGG